UCCCUGGAGGACUAGUGGUUAGUCCUCAGCGGUCUCACCGCUGCUGUCCGGGUUCGAUUCCCGGCCAGGGAA